CUCCCUGGAAUAGUGGAGUUGGGAGGAUGGGGAGACAGCUAACCAACUUCAUUACCCAAACUGUAUUGCACUUUUAGUUCCCUAGUUUUCUAGGCGAGCUUCAUUUGGAGAAGGAUGAUGAUAUCUAGGCAUAACCUAGCCCAUGAGGAACCUAGUUAGGAAAGACAACUGACAUUUAUUGAAUUCCAUGUACUAGUCCUUUCCACCUGUCAUAUUUUAAUUAUAGAAAUCAGUCGCCAAAAGAAUCUUGGGGAUUUUCUAUCUGACUGGCCUGGCCAUCUCAUCCCAUCCUUGUAUUGCCAGAGGUUGCAUACACUUUGGAGAC
rnacentral:lncRNA from 1 species